rnacentral:rRNA from 1 species
AUUAAUUUAAAGUGUAUUCUGCCCAGUGAAUUAUUUUAACGGCCGCAGUACCUUGACUGUGCUAAGGUAGCAUAAUAAAUUGUCUUUUAAUUGGAGACUAGAAUGAACGAAAUUUUGAUUGGAUGCUGUUUCUUUAAAAUUUUAGUGAAUUUACUUAAAAGGUGAAAAUUCCUUUAGUAAUUUAAUAGACGAGAAGACCCUUAGAAUUUAUAUUUAUUUUGUUGGGGCGACAAAGGAACAGAUAACUUCCUACUUAUUUAAAACUAUGUAACUAAAAAUUUUCAUUUUAAUUAAAUUACCUAAGGGAUAACAGCAUAAUUCAAUUAUGAGUUUGUGACCUCGAUGUUGGACUAGGGACUUAAUUUUAAUAGAUUUAAAAUAAGAUUGUUCUGUUCGAACA